rnacentral:Y_RNA from 1 species
AGCAGGUCCAAAGAUAAUAGGUUAUCUCAAUUGUUCAGUCAGUUACAGAUCAAACUCUUUGUUCAACUCUUUCCCCCCUUCUCACUACUACACUUGACUAGUCUUAA